AUUGAACGCUGGCGGCAGGCCUAACACAUGCAAGUCGAACGAGUGGCGGACGGGUGAGUAAUGUCUGGGAAACUGCCUGAUGGAGGGGGAUAACUACUGGAAACGGUCGCUAAUACCGCAUACCAUCAGAUGUGCCCAUAUGGGAUUAGCUAGUUGGUGGGGUAACGGCUCACCAAGGAGACGAUCCCUAUCUGGUCUGAGAGGAUGACCAUCAACACUGUAACUGAGAGACGUUCCAUACGCCUACGGGAGGCAGCAGUGGGGAAUAGUGCACAAGGGGCGCAAGCCAGAUGCAGCCAUGCCGAGUGGAUGAAGAAGGCCUUCGGGUUGUAAAGUACUUUCAGCGGGGAGGCGUUACCCGCAGAAGAAGCACCGGCUAACUCCGUGCCAGCCGCCGCGGUAAUAC
rnacentral:rRNA from 1 species